GUAUAAGCGAGGUUUUUUGUCACUGAAGUUAACUGCAAAAGUCGUACUCGACUUAUUCGCUGUAAGCCGCCGUUUGGAGGGGAGCUGCGAAAUGAUCGCAGCGCGCAGGGUGGCGAGUAGUGAGUUGAGCCAGCCUGUGUGUGGUAGCAUUUUGUAUCAGAAAUAAUAGACAGUAUGUGGAAUUACACUUGUUGUGUCGUUAACUGCAAAAAUAACGGUAAAACUAGUGAUCGUAUAUUUUACAAGUUUCCAACUGCAUCGUAUAAAAUAGGUUAAAGGCAAAAAUGGAUUGCUGCUGUGAAAAGAAAAAAAUCCUGAUGGUUCAAAGUGGACUCCAAAAACUCAUCACGUAAUAUGUAAUACUCAUUUCAUUGGCAAGAAAAAAUUAAAUGCUCCUGCGAGUCCAAGCUACGCGCCAACUCUAUUCUCUUCUAUUUUAUAUAUUCUAUUCCAUUCAAGUUAAUGAUGAUUCUAACAAUGUUGUCAAUAAUAGUGGACGUGAACCUAUGGAUGUAAGCAGCGCCGAAGUCAUUUUAAAAACUGAUCAAGAGUGUCAAGUAGAUUUUCUAAGUUCUACUGGUAUCGAAAAAACAAAAACUUUCAACUGCACUUUAUAUGGCUCAGAAGAUACGGAUGCUUGUCGAACAACUUCAGCUUGAAUAAACAAACUUUCUCCAUUAUGCCUGUAUUCUUGCACACUGCGAACAUGAUCGGCUUUAAGUAAUUUUAUGCCUGGUAGUUCCGUUGCAGGUUGAAAGUUUAUUUCGAGUGUGAUUUUUUCAAAUCCUGUCCUUAUUAAAACAUCCAUGACUACGGAUUUUUCCAUUAAAAAAUUAUUUAUUAUGUAUUAAUAGUAUACAUGACAGUUUUUUAAGUAUCAAUGUUGUCCAUCCAUCCAUGUGUCAAAAUAUACUUGCUUUGAACUUCUUAA